rnacentral:lncRNA from 1 species
UGAUGAAAUCCCCAGAGUGGUCCUCGGGUCCCACAGUGGGUGCUCAGGGAUGUAGGCUGUAGGGCUCCAGGCUCUGAGUUGAGGAAAAUUGGAGUUAAAUUUCAGUGAAGUAACCCUGAGCAAGUCAGUCUCUGUCCAUCAGGUUCUUUUGUUUGUAAAAUGGAGGUAGCCAUGAGGAUUGUUCUGAGAAUGAGUUAAAUGGAAAGAUAUGCUCAAGAUGCCAGCGCAAAGCCAGAGACUCAAGGUUCGCAGCUGGUUGGAGCAAACCUCAAUGUCAGUGUGAAUCUUCCACCAUGGGAUUCAAGCUGCCUUGGCUCUAAAGUAAGAUCACAGCUGCAGUGAGCUGACCCCAACUCAAGAUGGAACCAUCUUAGAACAAGCUCUUAGGAUAAAAAGCCAAAGCUCUCUAAUGUGUUCUGUGAUAAAGAAGACUAUGGAACUGACAGUCCAAACCGAGAAACUGGGGAGAGAGAGGAGGCAUUAUUGUCAACUCCAGGUCAUCCAACCUGUUUUAAGCUUUUUGUCAGCAAGAACCAGCCCUAUUUUAUUCAGCCCUGGAGCGGCCUCUCCACCAGGCACACAGCUUAGCACAAAGCAGGCCUCAGAUGCACGCUGGACAAAUGUGCUGGUAUCCUCUGCAUCCUUAUGGCCAAUAUCAGGGUUUGAGCCCCAGAAUUUCUGGAAAACUGGAGGCUCUACUGUUCCAUUCAACCCAGGCAUGAUCCAUCCAGAAACCCAGUGGAACUGAGCCGCGAGCUGGAUUCCAGCUCACAGAACACACCAAGAACUCUGGUGAAACAUCAAGAACUCUGGGGGGUCCCCCCAGAAAAAUCUGGGGGGCACUGCAGAGCUUCUGACACGGCUCUGGGGGAAAUCCCACACGGAUGGGCAGCUGCCUGCAUCUGGCACUGUGGAGGUGGGCGGGCAGCCAUGGAGGAUGGGGAGACUCAUCUUUCUAGACUUCUCCUGGGGACCGCAUUUCCUCCAGCCUCCAGGUCCAGACCAAAAUAGAAUGAGGUAAAUUCAGCCCCUUUCCUGAAGCACACUCAAGGAAUAAACAAGCACCACAAAUAC